rnacentral:rRNA from 1 species
CCGGACGCACGGGUGAGUAACACGUGAGUGACCUGCCUUUUAGACUGGAACAACUUACCGAAAGGUGAGCUAAUGCCGGAUGAGUUAUAUAAGUGCAUGUUUAUAUAGGAAAAGUUGGGGAGACCUGACGCUGAAAGAUGGACUCGCGUCCCAUUAGCUAGUUGGUAGGGUAAUGGCCUACCAAGGCGACGAUGGGUAGCCGGCCUGAGAGGGUGGACGGCCACAUUGGGACUGAGACACGGCCCAAACUCCUACGGGAGGCAGCAG